rnacentral:misc_RNA from 1 species
UCCGCUUUACAGCGGCAGUUUGCUCCGAGUCCCCGGCAUUACCCGCUGGUAACAGAACAUGAGGGUUGCGCUCGUUGCGGGACUUAACCCAACAUUUCACAACACGAGCUGACGACAGCCAUGCACCACCUGUGAAGGUGUCCCGAAGGAAAACCGUGUUUCCACGGCGGUCACCUACAUGUCAAACCCAGGUAAGGUUCUUCGCGUUGCGUCGAAUUAAACCACAUGCUCCGCUGCUUGUGCGGGCCCCCGUCAAUUCCUUUGAGUUUCAACCUUGCGGUCGUACUCCCCAGGCGGGGUACUUCCUGCGUUAGCGCCGGCACCCAGAGGGUCGCUCCCCCAGGCACCUAGUGCCCAUCGUUUACGGCGUGGACUAC